rnacentral:rRNA from 1 species
GACAGAGGAUGCAAGCGUUAUCCGGGAUGAUUGGGCGUAAAGCGUCCGCAGGUGGCUAUGUAAGUCUGCUGUUAAAGAGUGAGGCUCAACCUCAUAAGAGCAGUGGAAACUACAUGGCUAGAGUGCGUUCGGGGCAGAGGGAAUUCCUGGUGUAGCGGUGAAAUGCGUAGAUAUCAGGAAGAACACCGGUGGCGAAAGCGCUCUGCUAGGCCGCAACUGACACUGAGGGACGAAAGCUAGGGGAGCGAAUGGG